rnacentral:rRNA from 1 species
CCUACGGGUGGCUGCAGUGAGGAAUAUUGGUCAAUGGACGAGAGUCUGAACCAGCCAAGCCGCGUGAAGGAUGACUGCCCUAUGGGUUGUAAACUUCUUUUAUAUGGGAAUAAAACGUUCCACGUGUGGGAUUUUGUAUGUAUCAUAUGAAUAAGGAUCGGCUAACUCCGUGCCAGCAGCCGCGGUAAUACGGAGGAUCCGAGCGUUAUCCGGAUUUAUUGGGUGUAAAGGGAGCGUAGGUGGAUUGUUAAGUCAAUUGUGAAAGUUUGCGGCUCAACCGUAGAAUUGCAGUUGAAACUGGCAGUCUUGAGUACAGUAGAGGUAGGCGGAAUUCGUGGUGUAGCGGUGAAAUGCUUAGAGAUCACGAAGAACUCCGAUUGCGAAGGCAGUUCACUGGACUGCAACUGACACUGAGGCUCGAAAGUGUGGGUAUCAAACAGGAUUAGAUACCCGUGUAGUC